rnacentral:lncRNA from 1 species
CAGCACAAGAUGUGCAGAUGUUGUAUCAAAAGGUAGAAGAGUUUAUACAGAAGCACCUUGCUGCUGUUGCAGCUCCUCAGACUUCUGGAGAAGAUAAUUCAGGUAGCAUGGUCAGCUUUGUGCUUUAUGUAAUUAAAACCUUGGCAGAGGUGCACAAAAACUUUAUUGAACCAGCAAAUCUGGUCCGUCUUCUUCAGCGCCUGGCUCGAGACAUGGGGUCAUCUAAAACCUUGGCAGAGGUGCACAGAAACUUUAUUGAACCAGCAAAUCUGGUCCGUCUUCUUCAGCGCCUGGCUCGAGACAUGGGGUCAUCCAUUGGAUCCCAUGUGAGGCAGGUAUUCCAUUAUGUUUCAGAUGCUGUAUUUGUUAUCAUUUAGUUUCUGCUGAUUCAAGUGUGAGAGUAUGAGAUGUAUUUAUUUGAUAAAACCAUUUUCAAGAGCAUUCAUUGCCCUUUGAAAGAAGUCAAAAUAAAAAAAGAAUCUAAUGCUCUACUGGAUUUGAAGACUUCCAAUGCUCAUGCUAUUUGAAAUAGCUUUCAACAUGGAGUCGGGACUCCAUAACGUACACAAAGAUUAAGUGAUCUAUGAAUAUUAUCCCAAUUCAGGUCUUGUUCCGUGCUUAAAUGGAUAACUGAAACUCUAAAUGAUUCUGGAGUGUCUUUUGGUAUACCUUAGAGCUGAUUUUACGCGUUUUUCUUGAGUUUGAGUUGGCUCAAUUCUUCUCUUAACUGUACGUGAGGCAGAUUCUUUUAAUGUAGUGCACAUUUUAUUGACCACAAGUCAUGGUAUAC